GGGCUCACUUCGGCAGCACAUAUACUAAAAUUGGAAUGAUACAAAGAAGAUUAGCAUGGCCCCUGCUCAAGGAUGACACGCAAAUUCGUGAAGCAUUCCAUAUUUUU
rnacentral:snRNA from 1 species